AGCCCAUCCACAUCCAGCAUUUCCCUUUCCAUCGCAGCAGCCUCAUCCUGCUCAACCCGGCGUCGCCUCUCGAUCUCAGCCAACUCAGAAGUUCGCAGACCUGAAUUAUAAGCUUGUCUGGCCUGAAAUGAGUUCAGCUCUCGCGCCUGAUGCGCCUCCCAAUCACUAUCAACGGGAUACAAAGUCCCAAAAGUGGGAGGAGGGAAAGUAGACCGAUAAGUCAUCGCCUCGGUGUACAUGGAAGAGGCGGUAUCAAAAUAGAG
rnacentral:lncRNA from 1 species